ACAUUGUCUUGCCUUUUCUUCUCCAUCCAUCUGUAAGAAGGAUGUACAUGUGGAGUGUGGUGAACUGCUCGUAACCCCAUUUCAGGCUAUGCCAUUUGAGUUGCACUGAACAGUAGCAAACUGACUGCAGUAUCAGGAAUGACAGUACAGUAUAUGGCAGUAGUACAUAUUUUCAGUAAGAUCACUGGUUCCAUCAUUCUCUAGUGGCUUCAUCACCAAAUGAUCAAGGCUUGGAAAGUCAAGAUCAGCCCAUGUUGUUGUGUAUCCUCCAGCCAGACAAUACACAUCACAUGUCUGCAUGGUGGUGGUAUCUUUUUUAUUGGUG